GACGAACGCUGGCGGCGUGCUUAACACAUGCAAGUCGAGCGGUAAGGCCCUUUCGGGGGUACGACGAGCGGCGAACGGGUGAGUAACACGUGGGUGACCUGCCCUCAGCUCUGGGAUAANCCUGGGAAACCGGGUCUAAUACUGGAUAUGACUCCAUGACGCAUGUUGGUGGGGUAGGAAANCCUUGUGCGGCUGAGGAUGGGCCCGCGCUAUCAGCUUGUUGGUGGGGUGACGGCCCUACCAAGGCGACGACGGGUAGCCGGCCUGAGAGGGCGACCGGCCACACUGGGACUGAGACACGGCCCAGACUCCUACGGGAGGCAGCAGUGGGGAAUCUUGCGCAAUGGGCGAAAGCCUGACGCAGCGACGCCGCGUGA
rnacentral:rRNA from 1 species